GACGAACGCUGGCGGCGUGCUUAACACAUGCAAGUCGAACGGAAAGGCCCUGCUUUUGUGGGGUGCUCGAGUGGCGAACGGGUGAGUAGCACGCGAGUAACCUGCCCUUGACUUUGGGAUAACUUCAGGAAACUGGGGCUAAUACCGGAUAGGCGCUCCUGCUGCAUGGUGGGGGUUGGAAAGUUUCGGCGGUUGGGGAUGGACUCGCGGCUUAUCAGCUUGUUGGUGGGGUAGUGGCUUACCAAGGCUUUGACGGGUAGCCGGCCUGAGAGGGUGACCGGCCACAUUGGGACUGAGAUACGGCCCAGACUCCUACGGGAGGCAGCAGUGGGGAAUAUUGCACAAUGGGCGGAAGCCUGAUGCAGCAACGCCGCGUGCGGGAUGACGGCCUUCGGGUUGUAAACCGCUUUCGCCUGUGACGAAGCGUGAGUGACGGUAAUGGGUAAAGAAGCACCGGCUAACUACGUGCCAGCCGCCGCGGUAACAC
rnacentral:rRNA from 1 species